AGUAAGGAGAAUAACAUUUGCUCAGUCAGUUAGUCUCUGGAAUACGAGAACCGGUAGAAGUUGAACGAGUGAAUGUAAGAAGCGUGUGAGUCGACAUGAAAUUUUGGAGAAGUAGAAAAAAAGGAGUGGAGUCAAGAGAAAAAAAAAAAGUAUUGAAGCAUAAUAUUCAAAAAAAAAAAAAAUAUAAAGAAAGGAGAAAAUUUUGAAAGCAGACGAAGGGUGGUGAAAGAAAAGAAAAAAAGAAAAUAUUACACCUCUUUAGUUGUGGACGAUGUUUGGCCCCUAGUUAGCGGCUCUACGGGUCUUACAGGCUAUAACUCGCAGCUCGUCGCGACGCAAGGCGUUGCCUGGAAUGAAGACAGCGGUGCCGCAAGAAGAGUUAUCGCGGUCCGCGGCGGCCAAUGAUAAAUUGCGCAUCGCUAAAGAGCCGUAAAGUGCCACGCGGAAUGAAGAGGCCGGUCAUUAUCUUACGGGUCCUCUUUAAUUAAAGGAAUCCUGCGCUCGUACAUACGACGCCAAGCGUCGUUGUCAACGACGUCCAAGAAAAAUUCUUCCACGAUUUAAUUCUCCUUCGUAGAAAUGCAAUCAUCGAUCGCGUCAUCUUAAAAUACAAAAUGAAUAAAAAUUGUGAAAAUCGGCGAAAAAAUUUUUCUCAAAUAAUUUUUUAUUUUUAUCCAGCCAAAAAUCUCUGUCACGUUCAUACCGUAACCCGUAUUGAUCGACGUUAAUGUUUAUUCAAAAUAAUUAAUCUACGUUCGCGCAUGCGCAUAUACGGGUAUGUAUAUUGCGCGACCGCAAAACCAGAGACACACAGACCUACAUUGCUCGCAACGUCCAGUACAUACUGGGUGUGGGGAUUUCGAAGAAGAGCAGUAAAGUCCUCGGAGCUGCGACCGCAGAUUUAUGCGUAGUAAAGGCAAACCGUCUCUUGGGCCGAUCUACCCUCGAGCGUGGUGAACAUUAGUUCAGCCCCACUCGGGUACUUACGGAUAGUUACCCGCGGCAUCGUAAAUUAUUGCCCACGCCCCGAACUUUUACUGCUACUUCGGUUUGAAUCUUUGGCAACGCGACGCCCAUGGAAAUUAAAAAGAAAGGAUGCGCACGAAUUUUCGACACAUAUGUAGAAUAAAAAAAUAAUUUUUUUAAUAAAGAAAUAUUUUUUACCAAUUUA